UACGGGGGGAGCAAGCGUUGUUCGGAUUUACUGGGCGUAAAGGGCGCGUAGGCGGCCAGCACAAGUCAGUUGUGAAAUCUCCGGGCUUAACUCGGAAAGGUCAACUGAUACUGUGCGGCUAGAGUGCAGAAGGGGCAACUGGAAUUCUCGGUGUAGCGGUGGAAUGCGCAGAUAUCAGGAGGAACACCAAUAGCGAAGGCAGCUCGCUGGGACGUUACUGACACUGAGGCGCGAAAGCGUGGGGAGCGAACAGG
rnacentral:rRNA from 1 species